GAUGAACGCUGGCGGCGUGCCUAAUACAUGCAAGUCGAGCGAACGGACGAGAAGCUUGCUUCUCUGAUGUUAGCGGCGGACGGGUGAGUAACACGUGGAUAACCUACCUAUAAGACUGGGAUAACUUCGGGAAACCGGAGCUAAUACCGGAUAAUAUUUUGAACCGCAUGGUUCAAAAGUGAAAGACGGUCUUGCUGUCACUUAUAGAUGGAUCCGCGCUGCAUUAGCUAGUUGGUAAGGUAACGGCUUACCAAGGCAACGAUGCAUAGCCGACCUGAGAGUAGGAGCGGCCACACUAGAACAGAGACCGCGGCCAGCGACCUCCGGCAGGAGGAAGUAGGGAAUCUUGAUGAAUGUGCGCAAACCUGACAUAGCAACGACGCGUGAAUAACAAAGGUCUAAGGAUCGUAAAACUACGUUAAUAGGCAAGAACAGAUAUCUAAGUCUAUCUGCACACCUGGGGCGUACCUAAUGAGAAAACCACAGAUACCUACAC
rnacentral:rRNA from 1 species